rnacentral:rRNA from 1 species
GACGAACGCUGGCGGCGUGCCUAAUACAUGCAAGUAGAACGCUGAAGGAGGAGCUUGCUUCUCUGGAUGAGUUGCGAACGGGUGAGUAACGCGUAGGUAACCUGCCUGGUAGCGGGGGAUAACUAUUGGAAACGAUAGCUAAUACCGCAUAAUAGUAGAUGUUGCAUGACAUUUGCUUAAAAGGUGCAAUUGCAUCACUACCAGAUGGACCUGCGUUGUAUUAGCUAGUUGGUGAGGUAACGGCUCACCAAGGCGACGAUACAUAGCCGACCUGAGAGGGUGAUCGGCCACACUGGGACUGGGACACGGCCCAGACUCCUACGGGAGGCAGCAGUAGGGAAUCUUCGGCAAUGGACGGAAGUCUGACCGAGCAACGCCGCGUGAGUGAAGAAGGUUUUCGGAUCGUAAAGCUCUGUUGUAAGAGAAGAACGAGUGUGAGAGUGGAAAGUUCACACUGUGACGGUAUCUUAACAGAAAGGGACGGCUAACUACGUG